UAGAGUGUAAACUCCCUAACCUUUGUGAACAUACCUGUUGCUUCGGCGGUCCUCACCGGCCGCCGAAGGCCUAUAUUCUUGAAUUUACAUGAAUUUCUGAGUAUCAAACAAAAAUAAAUAA
rnacentral:misc_RNA from 1 species